GACGAACGCUGGCGGCGUGCUUAACACAUGCAAGUCGAACGAUGAAGCCCAGCUUGCUGGGUGGAUUAGUGGCGAACGGGUGAGUAACACGUGAGUAACCUGCCCUGGACUCUGGGAUAACCCCGAGAAAUCGGAGCUAAUACCGGAUAGGACCUUCUCCCGCAUGGGGGUUGGUGGAAAGUUUUUCGGUCCGGGAUGGACUCGCGGCCUAUCGGGUUGUUGGUGAGGUAAUGGCUCCCCAAGGCGUCGACGGGUAGCCGGCCUGGGAGGGUGACCGGCCAACGUGGGACUGAGACACGGCCCAGACUCCUACGGGGGGCAGCAGUGGGGAAUAUUGCACAAUGGGCGCAAGCCUGAUGCAGCAACGCCGCGGGCGGGAUGACGGCCUUCGGGUUGUAAGCCGCUUUUGUCAGGGAAGAAGCCUUUCGGGGUGACGGUACCUGGAGAAAAAGGACCGGCUAACUACGUGCCAGCAGCCGCUGUAAAAC
rnacentral:rRNA from 1 species